UGAACUUGAACCCAGAGAUUAAGGAAAGAGAGCAGUAUCACUGAAGCACAGAUGCACUGGUGUUUACAUGUUUAUGUUCUUUCAUGCAGGUCAGGUUGAACCCAAGGCCAGAAGGCAUCAGAAGACUGGGAGACAGUCAUCUAGCUCUGAGGAGUCUGUGGCUUCACAUUAUUCCUCCACACCCUCUAGCAGCACAGGUACUGUCAUGUCAGUGGAAACGAUCUUCUAAGUACAUUCACGAUCACAACCUGGUGAGACCACAUCACCAACAUACACAGAGAGUUGACAAUGACUGUGACAGCCAAGGCCACUGUCAGUCAGAAACUGCCUUGAAGCCAGGCCAGUGCUGAGCCCCAGGUGGAUAUUGGGCCUCUGGAGUCAACAGUGAGAAGGAUACUGACAAAGAAACAAGAAAUAUGAGCAGGGAUAAGGCCAGCAAGCCUGCUCCAUCACUUUAUAUGAUCGUGGAUGACCUUGAGUUUCAAUCUUCCUGCCUGCUCCCCAAAUCCUCUGAGUCCCUGAACAUCAGAUCUUCUGCAGUCCAGAGAAAUUGAUAGAAUGAAUAGCACACUGACCACAAAGUGAAAACAUGACCAUAACUGUUAAAGCUGUUUACUCAAACAGAUCAAAGACAACAAGUGGUAUUUCCGAAACACUAUUGCUGCUCACCUCAACUUGGACUUGAGAUUUGGAAUCACAAUUUCUUAAUGUUUGCAUGUUACAAAAUGUAAACUACAAUUAGCACUAAAGAUGGUUAUAACAAACAGUGGCGCUAUUAUUUAAGGAAUAAACCAGUCAACGAUAGGUCAGCGAAUCUAACAUUAGUGGAAGGAAAGCUAUUGGAAAAAAGUCUGAGGGACAAAAUUAAUCUCCACUUGAAGAGACAAGGAUCAAUCAAGGAAAGUCAGUAAGGCUUUGUUGAGGGAGAUCACAUCUAAAAGAUUUGAUUGAAUAUUCCAAGGACCUGACUAGAUCUGUUGAUGAGGCUAGUAUAAUGGAUAUCAUCAUUGACCUCACAUGGAAACUGGUCAAGAAGAACAUUCUACAACAAUAUUAUAUUCAUUUUCCAAAGAUAUGGACAUCACUGGCUAGGCCAGCAUUUAUUACUCAUCCCUACUUCCCCAUUUGAGAGUUAACUACAUUCCUGUGGGCCGAGAGUCACAUGUCAGCCAGACCAAAUGAAAUGACUGAAUAAAUCACUGGCAUUGUUUAUAACACUACUUAUCUAAAUGGAAAUGGACCACAGCAGCAGUCUGCAGGAUUGCCCCUGAAAGCAUGUAUUCAUAUCUAGUUUAUCUUGUGUUUGACAUGUUUGUUCCUGAUGCCAAUUAAUAAUAUAAAAUUCUUCCUGUAUCCAAACAAGAAACAAAAUACUGCCAAUCUGUCAAAUCUGCUCAAACGUGAAAAAUUACUCAGGCCAUUAAGCCGAGUAGAUCCAAGGGUAUCCAAUUGUUUUACAUAUGCAAAUGGUAAACAUUAAUCUAAAUGAGUUCUCUGUUUGGUGCGUUUUU